UACGUAGGGUGCAAGCGUUGUCCGGAAUUAUUGGGCGUAAAGAGCUCGUAGGCGGUCUGUCGCGUCUGCUGUGAAAACUCAGGGCUUAACCCUGAGCUUGCAGUGGGUACGGGCAGACUAGAGUGCGGUAGGGGAGACUGGAAUUCCUGGUGUAGCGGUGAAAUGCGCAGAUAUCAGGAGGAACACCGGUGGCGAAGGCGGGUCUCUGGGCCGGUAACUGACGCUGGAGGAGCGGAAAGCAUCGGGGAGCGAACAGG
rnacentral:rRNA from 1 species